UGGGGAAUCUUGCACAAUGGGCGAAAGCCUGAUGCAGCAACGCCGCGUGCGGGAAGACAGCCCUAGGGUUGUAAACCGCUUUCAGCAGGGAAGAAACUGACGGUACCUGCAGAAGAAGAUGCGGCCAACUACGUGCCAGCAGCCGCGGUGACACGUAGGCAUCAAGCGUUAUCCGGAUUUAUUGGGCGUAAAGAGCUCGUAGGCGGUUCGGUAAGUCGGGUGUGAAAACUCUGGGCUCAACCCAGAGAGGCCACUCGAUACUGCUGUGACUAGAGUGCGGUAGGGGAGCGGGGAAUUCCUGGUGUAGCGGUGAAAUGCGCAGAUAUCAGGAGGAACACCAGUGGCGAAGGCGCUGCUCUGGGCUGUAACUGACGCUGAGGAGCGAAAGCAUGGGUAGCAAACAGGAUUAGAUACCCUGGUAGUCCAUGCCGU
rnacentral:rRNA from 1 species